AAGAAAAAAAAAAAAAAAAGAAAUACAAACAAAAACCACAACAAAGUGAAACAAGUGCUAAAGCAAUUCAAACGAAACCCAAAAGGCAAUCAGAAGAAUUUACAAUACUUAUGUGCGAAUGUAAUACGAAUGUGAAUCACAUUAAGAAUAAGCAAAUCAAAAUCAAGCAAACGCUUUAUCUACAUAACUGUAAGCCAGCAACGUGGGAGGCGUCAAGAGAGUAAUAGAAACCAAACGACAGAGAGAGAGAGUAAGAGAGCUAGCGAGAGAAAUUGCGAGAUCGUGGCAAGCAACACACAAGGCCAUCCCAUCCAAUAAUCUAUGGAUAAAAUAACAAGAGAAUUUAUUUUCAAACUGGCUUAAAGGUAGCAUCUGGGAAA